rnacentral:sRNA from 1 species
UUUGCGUUAAGGAUGGUAGUGGAACUCUUUUUUUGCCCUAAGCGGUAAGUAGGAUGGACAAAAAAAAGUGGGAACGGACAGCCUGACCCGCA